rnacentral:rRNA from 1 species
GAUGAACGCUGGCGGCGUGCUUAACACAUGCAAGUCGAACGAUGAAGCCCAGCUUGCUGGGUGGAUUAGUGGCGAACGGGUGAGUAACACGUGAGUAACCUGCCCUUAACUCUGGGAUAAGCCUGGGAAACUGGGUCUAAUACCGGAUAGGAGCGUCCACCGCAUGGUGGGUGUUGGGAAGAUUUAUCGGUUUUGGAUGGCCUCGCGGCCUAUCAGCUUGUUGGUGAGGUAAUGGCUCACCAAGGCGACGACGGGUAGCCGGCCUGAGAGGGUGACCGGCCACACUGGGACUGAGACACGGCCCAGACUCCUACGGGAGGCAGCAGUGGGGAAUAUUGCACAAUGGGCGCAAGCCUGAUGCAGCGACGCCGCGUGAGGGAUGACGGCCUUCGGGUUGUAAACCUCUUUCAGUAGGGAAGAAGCGAAAGUGACGGUACCUGCAGAAGAAGCACCGGCUAACUACGUG